rnacentral:rRNA from 1 species
UACGUAGGGUGCAAGCGUUUGUCCGGAAUUAUUGGGCGUAAAGAGCUCGUAGGCGGUCUGUCGCGUCUGCUGUGAAAACUCAGGGCUUAACCCUGAGCUUGCAGUGGGUACGGGCAGACUAGAGUGCGGUAGGGGAGACUGGAAUUCCUGGUGUAGCGGUGAAAUGCGCAGAUAUCAGGAGGAACACCGGUGGCGAAGGCGGGUCUCUGGGCCGUAACUGACGCUGGAGGAGCGGAAAGCAUCGGGGAGCGAACAGG